rfam:Triticum urartu cultivar G1812 contig791728, whole genome shotgun sequence.
UAGGUACUCCCUCUGUCCAAAAAAGCUUGUCCCAAGCUUGUCUCUCAAAUGGAUGUAUCUAGCACCAAGUUAGUGCUAGAUACAUCCAUUUGAGGGACACGCUUUUCUAGACAGAGGAAGUAGUAG